rnacentral:lncRNA from 1 species
AGGAGGGUCCCGCGGCCCCCCGGGCUGCGGGGCGGAGGGGGGAUGGAGGCAGGGAUGGAGGGAGGGAUGGAGGGAGGGAUGCAGGCAGGGAUGGAGGGAGGGAUGCAGGCAGGGAUGCAGGCAGGGAUGCAGGCAGGGAUGCAGGAGCGGACGGAAGGAUGGAAGGACGGGGCUCCAGGUCGAGGGUGGGCGCAGGGGGCGGUUGCCCCUUGCCAGAGGCAGCUCGCCGGCCGGGGGACGCUGGUGCCGGGCCCGGCACCGUCCCCGCCGGGGGUCUCGGGCUGCCGCGGACGGACCCUCCCGGGCCGGGGCAGCGGCUGCCGGGCAGCGCCGACUGCCACGAGGUGGAGGCAUGAAGACACAGCCGGGAUCGCUAAUGAAGCACCUAAUUACUGCCGCCUUUAAUUGGCUUUAUUGCCACCAGAGGGAGGCGGAGACACGCCGGUGGCUUUCCCGGGACAGCAGAACUCCAAGGCACCCCAGCAGAACCGCUCCGAGGUUAUCGGGGACCACACCCCGAGGUUUUUAGGGAGCACAUCCCGAGGUUAUUGGGGACCACACCCCGAGAUUAUCGGGGACCUCAUCCCGAGGUUAUUGGGGACCACACCCCGAGGUUUUUAGGGGGCACAUCCCGAGGUUAUUUGGGACCACACCCCGAGGUUUUUAGGGACCACACCCCGAGGUUUUUAGGGACCUCUCAUCCCGGGGUUAUUGGGGACCACAUUCCGAGGUUAUCAGGGACCACACCCCGAGGUUAUCAGGGAGCACAUCCCGAGGUUAUUUGGGACCACACCCCGAGGUUUUUAGGGACCACAUCCCAGGAUUAUUGGGGACCACAUCCCGAGGUUAUCAGGGACCACACCCCGAGGUUAUCAGGGAGCACACCCCGAGGUUUUUAGGGACCACAUCCCAGGAUUAUUGGGGACCACACCCCGAGGUUAUCAGGGACCACACCCCAGGUUAUCAGGGACCUCAGAUCCUCCUGGCACCUGGAGCAGAGCUCUCACCUGUCAGUGGCUGAUCCAUGCUGCCACCAAAUCCUUUGGGAAACUGUCGACUGCAAAGCUGCCAAAUUCUUCCAAAAUCUGUUCCUGGAGUGGUCAGUGUUGAUUAGACCCGAAUAAAAACCCAAAGUCCACAUGCUGCGUGCA